rnacentral:rRNA from 1 species
GAACGCUGGCGGCGUGCUUAAUACAUGCAAGUUGAGCGGAGCCAUUGAUGAAGCUUGCGAUUCAAUGGUCGAGCGGCGGACGGGUGAGUAACGCGUGGGCAACCUGCCCUCUAGUCUGGGAUAACAGUUCGAAAGGGCUGCUAACACCGGAUAAGCUCACGGAGAGGCAUCUUUCAGUGAGAAAAGUUUACGCUAGAGGAUGGGCCCGCGUCCCAUUAGCUAGUUGGUGAGGUAACGGCUCACCAAGGCGCCGAUGGGUAGCCGACCUGAGAGGGUGACCGGCCACACUGGGACUGAGACACGGCCCAGACUCCUACGGGAGGCAGCAGUAGGGAAUUUUCCGCAAUGGGCGAAAGCCUGACGGAGCAACGCCGCGUGAGGGAAGAAGGUCUUCGGAUCGUAAACCUCUGUCUUCAGGGACGAUGAUGACGGUACCUGAGGAGGAAGCCACGGCUAACUACGUGCCAGCAGCCGCGGUAAUACGUAGGUGGCGAGCGUUGUCCGGAAUUACUGGGCGUAAAGGGCGUGUAGGCGGCCAUUUAAGUCAGAUGUGAAAUACCAUGGCUUAACCAUGGGACUGCAUUUGAGACUGGAUGGCUUGAGGAUCGGAGAGGGCAGUGGAAUUCCCAGUGUAGCGGUGAAAUGCGUAGAUAUUGGGAGGAACACCAGUGGCGAAGGCGACUGCCUGGACGACACCUGACGCUGAGGCGCGAAAGCUAGGGGAGCAAACGGGAUUAGAUGCCCCGGUAGUCCUAGCCGUAAACGAUGGGUACUAGGUGUGGGAGGUAUCGACCCCUUCCGUGCCGCAGUUAACACAAUAAGUACCCCGCCUGGGGAGUACGGCCGCAAGGUUGAAACUUAAAGGAAUUGACGG